rnacentral:rRNA from 1 species
CCUACGGGUGGCUGCAGUGGGGAAUAUUGGACAAUGGGCGAAAGCCUGAUCCAGCCAUGCCGCGUGUGUGAAGAAGGCCUUCGGGUUGUAAAGCACUUUCAGUGGGGAAGAAAGCCUUGGGGCUAAUACCCUCGAGGAAGGACAUCACCCACAGAAGAAGCACCGGCUAACUCCGUGCCAGCAGCCGCGGUAAUACGGAGGGUGCGAGCGUUAAUCGGAAUUACUGGGCGUAAAGCGCGCGUAGGCGGUCUGAUAAGCCGGUUGUGAAAGCCCCGGGCUCAACCUGGGAACGGCAUCCGGAACUGUCAGGCUAGAGUGCAGGAGAGGAAGGUAGAAUUCCCGGUGUAGCGGUGAAAUGCGUAGAGAUCGGGAGGAAUACCAGUGGCGAAGGCAGCCUUCUGGACUGACACUGACGCUGAGGUGCGAAAGCGUGGGUAGCAAACAGGAUUAGAUACCCCGGUAGUC